UGGUGAACGUUGUCAUUUUUUUCCUCUCAAAGCUCUUUAUCAUGUAAGUUUAGCUAUCUGAAAACAUCUUAUCAUUCAUUCUAUAAAUCAUUGUGGCGUGUAUUGUCGUAUGUUAGGAACUAGGUUUUCAUCACCUUUAACAAAACCUUAAUCGUGCAUAUCCUCCCAUUUAUGAAAUCUUAUGACAUUUUCCCCCUCGCCAAUCACACUGUCAUUCAAGUCUCUAACCCUCACUUAAUCCCUCACCUCACACUUCAUGUUUACUUGCUUCAUCUUCAACUAUUGAGUCAUGAAACCUAAUUAACUUUCAUAAUCAUUGCUUCAUCUUCAACUAGUAAUUUAUCAAACCUAAUUAGCUUUCAUGAUCAUUGCCAAGAUGGUCUUAGUGAUCACCACCA
rnacentral:lncRNA from 1 species